UACGUAGGGUGCAAGCGUUGUCCGGAAUUAUUGGGCGUAAAGAGCGUGUAGGCGGCCCGAUUAGUCCGCUGUGAAAGUCCAGGGCUCAACCCUGGAAUGCCGGUGGAUACUGUCGGGCUAGAGUCCGGAAGGGGCGAGUGGAAUUCCUGGUGUAGCGGUGAAAUGCGCAGAUAUCUGGAGGAACACCGGUGGCGAAGGCGGCAUCCUGGACCGACACUGACGCUGAGGAGCGAAAGCCAGGGGAGCAAACGGG
rnacentral:rRNA from 1 species